rnacentral:rRNA from 1 species
GUCCACGCCCUAAACUAUGUCAACUGGUUGUCGGGGGAUUGAUUCCCUUGGUAACGAAGCUAACGCGUGAAGUUGACCGCCUGGGGAGUACGGCCGCAAGGUUAAAACUCAAAGGAAUUGACGGGGACCCGCACAAGCGGUGGAUUAUGUGGAUUAAUUCGAUGCAACGCGAAAAACCUUACCUACCCUUGACUUGUAGCGAACCUCGCAGAGAUGUGAGGGUGCCCGAAAGGGAACGCUAACACAGGUGCUGCAUGGCUGUCGU